rnacentral:rRNA from 1 species
UUGAACUUUGGAGCGGGGCCGAGAGGGGUUCGCCUCUUUCGGUCCGAGCGACGCCGGUCCGCCCCCGACGGGCGAGCACUGGUUCGCGCGCUCCCUCCUACCGGACGCUCGCUCCUGCUCUUAAUUGAGUGGGAGUAUUCACCUGGACCCAAGAAAGCGGCGGGGCAACCCGAGCGCGCUUGGGCGAGCCCUCGAGGCUCUACUCCCAGGGUUUCGUCCGGGGUGGAGUCGGAAGGGCAACCUUCCUUCUCCUCUAAAGCCCCGACGGAGCUCCGGUUCGUUUACCUUGAAUAAAUUAGAGUGUUCAAAGCAGGCAAGCACACGCCCUGAAUACGUUAGCAUGGGAUAAUAGAAUAGGACUUGGGUCUUAUUUUCGUUGGUUUUUAGGACCGAAGUAAUGAUUGAUAGGGACGGUCGGGGGCAUUAGUAUUUAAUUGUCAGAGGUGAAAUUCUCGGAUUUAGGAAAGACUGACUUCAGCGAAAGCAUUUGCCAAGGACGUUUUCGUUAAUCAAGAACGAAAGUUAGGGGAUCGAAGACGAUCAGAUACCG